UACGUAGGGGGCUAGCGUUGUCCGGAUUUAUUGGGCGUAAAGAGCGCGUAGGCGGCUAGGUAAGUCCGACGUGAAAAUCUGGAGGCUCAACCUCCAGCGGUCGUUGGAAACUACUUGGCUAGAGUCCGGAAGAGGAGAGUGGAAUUCCUGGUGUAGCGGUGAAAUGCGCAGAUAUCAGGAAGAACACCGAUGGCGAAAGCAGCUCUCUGGGACGGUACUGACGCUGAGGCGCGAAAGCGUGGGGAGCGAACAGG
rnacentral:rRNA from 1 species